AUGAAAAGAUGUUUGCUUAGUUUAUACCUUUGGAGGGUACAAGGUCAGGAUCGAGUGGCCUCCUCUCUUUGGCACCUCAGAGCCUGGCAGAGAGGGACAUGGCAAAGGUUGGGAAUUUUCUGUAGCCACUUACAGAAGAGAAGAAAGCUUUCAGAUUAGCAACGUCUGUCUUUCAGAAGGCAAACAGAGAACACACCCAAGGCAAAGAUGGUUCUUGCUGAUAUCUCUCUCACUGCAGUAUGAGGCUUCACAACCGGCAGUUGCAUAGACUGAGGACAUGGAAGCUCCAAGGUAUGGUUUUUGAGAAGAAGGUUUUUAUUGUAGAUAUGAAGGACAGUACAGCCAGAGGAGUGUGGAAGGGUUCAGAGCUCAGAGAGAAAGUAAGAGACUAAACAUGGCCAGCAGACUGGAUCAGGCUAGGAGAGGGGGUGGGAGACAGAGAGAGAGAGAGAGAGAGAGAGAGUGAGAGAGAACAAAGCAGACUAAGAGGCAUAGGAAAGGAGAUGGAGAGGGGAAGACAGUGUAAGAGGAAGACCAUGAGCUGGAGUUUAAGGUAAGGUGGGGUGAGAAAGGCUAAGAACCAUGGGUACUGAGAAAGGCUGGAGGCCCUCUGAUGCUUUGAUAUGCUAAUAGAUACUAGGUGUCCCUUCUGAAUGAGAUAGGAAAUGGUUCCUUUAGUUGAGGGAAACAGCCACAGAAUUUGGGUGAGUGGCAUUUCCUUGUUUCCUUCAGUUCUGACAGAGGUUGAGUGGUUUGGAAUGG
rnacentral:lncRNA from 1 species